rnacentral:rRNA from 1 species
AUUGAACGCUGGCGGCAGGCCUAACACAUGCAAGUCGAGCGAGCGGCGGACGGGUGAGUAAUGUCUGGGAAACUGCCUGAUGGAGGGGGAUAACUACUGGAAACGGUAGCUAAUACCGCAUACCAUCAGAUGUGCCCAGUUGGGAUUAGCUAGUAGGUGGGGUAACGGCUCACCUAGGCGACGUUCCCUAGCUGGUCUGAGAGGAUGACCAGCCACACUGGAACUGAGACACGGUCCAGACUCCUACGGGGGGCAGCAGUGGGGAAUAUUGCACAAUGGGCGCUAGCCUGAUGCAGCCAUGCCGCGUAUGGGAAGAAGGCCUUCGAGUUGUAGAGCACUUUCAGCGGGGAGGCGUUACCCGCAGAAGAAGCACCGGCUAACUCCGUGCCAGCAGCCGCGGUAAUC